AGAUAUCAACAACUGAGCUAUUUCUCCUUCUCUGACUCAGAAGAAAGACAGAAAACUGUGAAAUAGCAUGAGGAAACAACUUCUUGCGGAAGCACUUUGAUACCAUAAGGCCAGACCUUACGAUGCCAAACUGCAGUUGCUGAAUUGUGAAACUUAAAUGCAAUGGGACGAAUUGGAUCAUGGGGUGGCAGGAGCCAAGUGGCAGCACUAAAGGAAAGAUUCCCUUGUUUAAGCUUCCUCUUUGGUAUUCAACAUCUCUAUUGAGGCAAGAGUGUCACAGAUACAGCCAUUGAGGGAAUAAAGCCAAAAUUCCAUCAUCUUCUGCAAGAGAAGUUUUUAAGGACUCACUUAACCCUGUGAAGCUUCUGUCCACAAGCUCAUGGUCUUUUGCUUCACUCUGAAAAGAACAAACUGAGAUUAUUAACCUUUGCUUAAUCUGACUACACAGCCUUAUAGAAAAUAAAAAGCAUUCUAGCCACUGAAUCCU